rnacentral:rRNA from 1 species
UACGGAGGGUGCGAGCGUUAUCCGGAAUUACUGGGUUUAAAGGGUGCGUAGGCGGCUUUGUAAGUCAGGAGUGAAAGUUUGCAGCUCAACUGUAAAAUUGCUUUUGAUACUGCGAGGCUAGAAUUAGGAUGAGGUCAGCGGAAUGUGGCAUGUAGCGGUGAAAUGCAUAGAUAUGCCAUAGAACACCAAUUGCGAAGGCAGCUGGCUAGACCUGGAUUGACGCUGAGGCACGAAAGCGUGGGGAGCGAACAGGAUUAGAUACCCGAGUAGUCC